rnacentral:rRNA from 1 species
GCAUACACGAAAGUGUGAYAGGGUCAUCCCGAGUGCCGACCGCUGAGGUUGGCUUUUACCCAGUCUAGUASAGCUGKGGGAAUAAGGAGAGGGCAAGAUCUGGUGUCAGCCGCCGCGGUAAUACCAGCUCUCCSAGUGGUGUGGACGUUUAUUGGGCCUAAAGCAUCCGUAGCUGGCUGAUYAAGUCCCCUGUUAAACCCACCGAUUUAAUCAGUUGGCUUGCGGGGGAAACUGUUCGGCUAGGKGACGAGAGAGGCAGACGGUAUUCCCGGGGUAGGGGUGAAAUCCUAUAAUCCCGAGAAGACCACCWRUGGCKAASGCUGUCUGCUAGAACGCGCCCGACGGWGAGGGAUGAAAGCUGGGGGAGCGAACCGGAUUAGAUACCCGGGUAGUCCCASCUGUAAACGAUGCAUGCUAGGUGUUUGGACGGCCACGUGCCGUUCUAGUGCCGCAGGGAAGCUGUUAAGCCUGCCGCCUGGGGAGUACGAUCGCAAGAUUGAAACUUAAAGGAAUUGGCGGGGGAGCAC